UGCUUAGGAAUCUACCUAGUAGUGGGGGACAACCCGAGGAAACUCGGGCUAAUACCGCAUACGCUCCACGGAGGAAAGCGGGGGAUCUUCGGACCUCGCGCUAUUAGAUGAGCCUAAGUCGGAUUAGCUUGUUGGUGGGGUAAGAGCUCACCAAGGCGACGAUCCGUAGCUGGUCUGAGAGGACGAUCAGCCACACUGGGACUGAGACACGGCCCAGACUCCUACGGGAGGCAGCAGUGGGGAAUAUUGGACAAUGGGCGCAAGCCUGAUCCAGCAAUGCCGCGUGUGUGAAGAAGGCCUGCGGGUUGUAAAGCACUUUC
rnacentral:rRNA from 1 species